GGCCCUGCCUGGUGGAGGAGCUGAUGGAGGCCCUGCCUGGUGGAGGAGCUGAUGGAGGCCCUGCCUGGUGGAGGAACCGAUGGAGGCCCUGCCUGGUGGAGGAACCAAUGGAGGCCCUGCCUGGUUGAGGAUUUCUGUCGUUGGGUAGAUGGAGCCCGACUCUGAAACUAUGAAUCUGUCUGAAGAGAGCUGGUGGAGGAGCUGAGAAGCUGUAAGACGAUUAGGAAUUGACAACAAGAAUUCCUUACGUUGGGGCCAGAUUUGAGCUGUUUGUUCCAGACCAGGACUCUGGCUGAGGAGUGCUGAUGGAGGAGCCAAGACUCUGGAGGACGACAUCACUCUACCAACAAGGAUCCUCGUCAGUUUGCAUAAAAGCCAAACUACGUUUGUAACCGGACCAGGAAUCUGGAGGACUGACGGAGAAGCCAUACAUCUGGAAGGCAAAUCCUGAGGACGACCAGGACUCUACCAUCAAGGAUUCCUCACACACCUGAGCUGAACCUCACCUGAUCCUGUUUGGUCGGGGUCAGACUCACCUGAGCUGAACCCCACCUGAUCCUGCUGGUCCUGUCUCCUCAGUUCAUCUUAGCCUCGUCUUCCAGAAGCCCUGCUGAACUCAGCGGUCUGAUCCUGAUGGAUCAAUGACCUCCAGUGGGAGUGAUCUUCUUGACCCCACAUGUACCUGUGUGCUUCCACACGCCUUACCCUCACGUCUGUCACAAACCUCACUACUUCACUAAUCUCUACUCCUUACC